UAAGUGCUGUGAGGCAUUGAGCUAACUGAUACUAAUUGCCCGUGAGGCUUAACCAUACAACACCCAAGGGGUUU
rnacentral:rRNA from 1 species